UUAGGCUGUGAUACAUUAUUCACUCGAGCCGCUUGGGUUUUGACAGUAAUUUUUUUUUUUAUAGCUAUUACGAUAACGAUUUUUAUAUGUGGAUAUAGGUACGCUUGUACCUACAUAAUUCUGGUUAUCUUUAUUAUUUCGUAUAUUAAAAUGUUAGCUACAGCUGUUUAGGUAGAUACCAUAUUUUCCCUGAAAUUAUGACGUUAACGAUUACGAAAUCUAUUAUUUGUGAUAAUAAUAGCGUUCGGCCAUUCGAAGAACGUAGGUAGGUACAUUAGCGCAGCAAAAGUUGAUAAACUGACAAUCACUUUUCAGCCGUCGCGCCUGUCGAACCCGAAUGUCUAUUCAGGUUAGUAAAAUUUAUAAUAAUUAUUUUAAAUCGUUUUCAUUCUUAAUUUACAAAGAUUUUAUCCAUAUUAUUUGACUCAUAAUAAUAUGUAGUUAAUUUAAAAUGUAACCUAAGUAAAUGAUUUUGUAUCGUGAAUGUAAUUUUACGUACUUUUUCAAAUCUUAAGAGAAUAAAAACUUAUUUGAGGAACACCUUUGGAGAAAAAAGAUUAAAUGGUCUGGCUAUGAUGUGUAUUCAUAAAGAUUUAAAAUUAACGGCUGACGAAGUUUUGGAUAAAUUAGUAAAAAAAAAACGAAAAAUUGAUUUUGUGUUGUAAUAGUUGUAACUAAAAUGCUGUUUUUUUUUAUGUAAGAAUUAAAUUUUAUUUAGUAAUUAUUCAUGGGUUAAACUUUUUUGCCUUUAUACAUUAUGAGAUAAUGUUAAAGGACCCCCCCCCCC